rnacentral:lncRNA from 1 species
CACUUCACAGGCUGGCAAUGGUUUUGCUUUGAAUACUUAUUUUUAUGGUGCACUGAAUAUUCAGGAAUAUGUUGUGACUUGUGACUAGUGGUAAAGAAAGCGUUCAUCUUUUGUGAUUGACUUCCUCGUGUCCAGGUUUUUCCAUCUGUGAAAGGAUACAUUUUCCUGCUUACAAGGAGCUUUGAGAUCUACACAGAGUCUCUCUGUAGGAAUGACACGUGAGAAUAUCCUCAUCACAACUCGAGUAAUUUAGUAAAUGCACAAUUCAGAACUUGUUUUACGUAUGAAUAAAACUUGUUGUUUAGCUGUUGGGUUUUUAAUUUUUGUGCUCCCUGCACACUUCUUUGGUAGAUCCAAAGCUCCUGGAGUUACCCAGCCUAUGUGGCAUCUAAGCCCUUGUAACAGCUGUUUUAAGAAACGGUCUGAUUCAGCCAGUAAGCAGCUCGGAGCUGAUAAGUGCAGCGGGGUUGGGCUUUUGAGGUCUGUUGCCUCAGAGGGUAACGACCACAGCUUCUUUGCUGGGGUGCUGGUGACCUGGGGGUUUUCCAGGUUUGUUUUCUGUUGGUUUUGCCCUUUUCCAGAUACAAAAGGGAAAAAAAUGAAGAUGCGUAAGGCAGUACUUAUGUUCAUUCUGUUCAUUACAGGGCAUCUUUGUACCAAUAUGAAUGUUGCUGCGGGAACACCAUCAUAUAGUCCCUCACCUGAAGAAACCUUAACAAAAUCACAUAGUUUCACACCUGGUCCCAAAUUCAAGCAAACUCCUCAAUCAGAAACAAUGUUGCAUGAGAACGAGAGGAACAGGGAACCAGAGAACCGUGGAAUGGAGGUUCCAGAACGUCUGCCAACUAUAGUGGCAGGAGUCAGCAUUUCCCUUGUGUUGAUUUUUAUUCUUGUAAUUACUGGUGUUUGGUGUGCACGAAGAAGAUCAAACGGAAGUUCAGCUGCAAUUAAUUGUAUUCCCUCUGGUGAACCUGGAGUGUCCUUAAAAAAAGUGUCAACACACGAGAACCAACACGAGUGGCCUUUUGAAAGAGCACUAUAAUGACAACUGGAGAGCUGUUGUGUGACCCUCUGGUCUGUGCACCUUUAUGGCAGAACCGCACACACCAUGGGACUUCGAGUCAGUAAUUUUCCCUUUUUUCAGUGAAUUUGGAAUAGCAGCUAACAAAAAAAAAAGAAUCCUGUUACCAAAAGAAUUUCAGUCAAAGGUCUUAAGUAAAAGAUUAAAACCAGGGAGGUUCUUCAAUGCCACCUAAGUGGAACAUGUUGCCUGUAGCGUAACAAAAGAAAGGCUUUUCUUAUGUCCUUUUCAGGAGGAAAAAAGAAAGGAAAAUCCUCUCAGUUGUAGCUAUUUGAACAGCACUCUUAAAGAGCUGUAUCUUCUAAAAAGUUAAAUUCUUGAAAUUAAAGAGAUCCUGGUUACAUAAAAUGGCAUGCUUAGGCUAUGUCUGUUUUAAUAAAUUAAACCUGCCCUGGAAUGUUGCUACUGUU